AAUUACCAAUCUUGAAGACUUUCUAUAGUGACUUCAUCGAUUCGAAUCCGGAUUUUUGACAAAGAUGCAGCAGCUAAGAUGUCUUUUCGUACUACUUCUAGCAAUAUUGGCCACCACAGUGAUGUGUUACCCUGGCAAGGAAAUUCUGCGACAGGGCUCGGAUCCACCUACGGUAAGUGGUUAGGUGAUAGUGAUGG